GGACCCGCACAAGCGGUGGAGCAUGUGGUUUAAUUCGAAGCAACGCGAAGAACCUUACCUGGUCUUGACAUCCUUCUGACAAAGUAUGUAAUGUACUCUUCCUUCGGGACAGAAGUGACAGGUGGUGCAUGGUUGUCGUCAGCUCGUGUCGUGAGAUGUUGGGUUAAGUCCCGCAACGAGCGCAACCCUUAUCUUUAGUAGCCAGCAGUUCGGCUGGGCACUCUAGAGAGACUGCCAGGGGAUAACCUGGAGGAAGGUGGGGAUGACGUCAAAUCAUCAUGCCCCUUAUGAUCAGGGCUACACACGUGCUACAAUGGCGUAAACAAAGGGAAGCAAUCACGUGAGUGUGAGCAAAUCUCAAAAAUAACGUCUCAGUUCGGAUUGUAGUCUGCAACUCGACUACAUGAAGCUGGGAAUCGCUAGUAAUCGCGAAUCAGAAUGUCGCGGUGAAUACG
rnacentral:rRNA from 2 species